UACAAAAUGUCCAGUGUUGGGGGACGCCCAGGACCAGGGUUGAGAAACACUGCUCUAAUACUAAAAUGGUGGUGCCUCAUUCUCUUGGAAAAUUUUGCUGUUGAAAGGAAACAUGUCCUCACUGCGUGCAAGUGCCGGAAGAGCAGGAGAUUGAAAUCUGCAGCAGGGAGCCAAGCAUAACAAAAGGCCUCCACACUGCAGUUGGAUGGCUGCGGAAAAACCUCUGUGUCUUCAGAGGUUUGGUGAAAGAGCUGAGGCUCCUCCAACUGAAAGAGGAAGACCAGAAGAAAGCUCUUCUUCAGCUUUCACAGGCUGAAAUGUCUGACUACCAGCAACUGGCCAAAGAACCAAUUUAAGGAUAAUAUGGACAUUUUUCUCGAUGAGUGCAUGGACAAAAGGGGCCUCAAAAUAAAUUGCAUGUUUCUCUAGUUUUGAUUUAUUUUAGUUUUUUUUUUUAAAAUUUUGAUACUUAUUGUUAAAUAUGUGC